GCCUGAACGAGCGAUGCCGCGUGAGCGAUGAAGGCCUUCGGGUUGUAAGACUCAAAAGGGGUGAGAAAGGGCAACUUGAUCGAACCCAGUAAGCUCGGGCUAAGUUCGUGCCAGCAGCCGCGGUAAGACGAACCGAGCGAACGUUGUUCGGAAUCACUGGGCUUAAAGGGCGCGUAGGCGGGUGCUCAAGUCCGGGGUGAAAUCCCACAGCUCAACUGUGGAACUGCCUCGGAUACUGGGUGUCUCGAGGGUGGUAGGGGGUAUGCGGAACUAUCGGUGGAGCGGUGAAAUGCGUUGAUAUCGAUAGGAACUCCGGUGGCGAAGGCGGCAUACUGGACCACUUCUGACGCUGAGGCGCGAAAGCCAGGGGAGCAAACGGGAUUAGAUACCCCGGUAGUCCUGGCCCUAAACGAUGGGAACUAGCUAGUAGGCUUCACAUGGGUUUACUGGCGAAGCAAAAGUGCUAAGUUCCCCGCCUGGGGAGUAUGGUCGCAAGGCUG
rnacentral:rRNA from 1 species